UACGUAGGGUGCGAGCGUUAAUCGGAAUUACUGGGCGUAAAGCGUGCGCAGGCGGUUUUGUAAGUCUGUCGUGAAAUCCCCGGGCUCAACCUGGGAAUUGCGAUGGAGACUGCAAGGCUAGAAUCUGGCAGAGGGGGGUAGAAUUUCACGUGUAGCAGUGAAAUGCGUAGAGAUGUGGAGGAACACCGAUGGCGAAGGCAGCCCCCUGGGUCAAGAUUGACGCUCAUGCACGAAAGCGUGGGGAGCAAACAGG
rnacentral:rRNA from 1 species